GAGUUUGAUCCUGGCUCAGAUUGAACGCUGGCGGCAGGCCUAACACAUGCAAGUCGAGCGGUAGAGAGAAGCUUGCUUCUCUUGAGAGCGGCGGACGGGUGAGUAAUGCCUAGGAAUCUGCCUGGUAGUGGGGGAUAACGCUCGGAAACGGACGCUAAUACCGCAUACGUCCUACGGGAGAAAGCAGGGGACCUUCGGGCCUUGCGCUAUCAGAUGAGCCUAGGUCGGAUUAGCUAGUUGGUGAGGUAAUGGCUCACCAAGGCGACGAUCCGUAACUGGUCUGAGAGGAUGAUCAGUCACACUGGAACUGAGACACGGUCCAGACUCCUACGGGAGGCAGCAGUGGGGAAUAUUGGACAAUGGGCGAAAGCCUGAUCCAGCCAUGCCGCGUGUGUGAAGAAGGUCUUCGGAUUGUAAAGCACUUUAAGUUGGGAGGAAGGGCAGUAAAUUAAUACUUUGCUGUUUUGACGUUUACCGACAGAAUAAGCACCGGCUAACUCUGUGCCAGCA
rnacentral:rRNA from 1 species